CCAGCAGCUGCGGUAAUUCCAGCUCCAAGAGUGUAUAUUAAAGUUGUUGCGGUUGAAAAGCUCGUAGUUGGAUUUAUGCUAUGCUGGUACAGUCGACCCCCUGGGUAGGACUUGUAUUGUUGCAUUGCACAUUGUAGAAUUUUUGUACGUUUUUCAGUAAAUGUGCAGAAUGCUGCUUAGUUACUUUGAGGAAAGUGGAGUGUCACACGCAGGUUGCGCCGUGAACAUGCUAGCAUGGCAUGACGCUGUAUGACUACGAGUCUUUUUGAAUGGUUUCGGGACACGUGGUAAUGAUUGAUAUGAGGUGUUGGGGAUACUCAUAUUUGACAGUUAGAGGUGAAAUUCUUGGAUUUGUCAAAGAUGAACAAAUGCAAUAGCAUUUAUCAUGGAUGUUUCAUUUGAUCAAGAACGAAAGU
rnacentral:rRNA from 1 species